CAGUAGCCGCGGUAAUACGUAGGGUGCAAGCGUUAAUCGGAAUUACUGGGCGUAAAGCGUGCGCAGGCGGUUAUAUAAGACAGAUGUGAAAUCCCCGGGCUCAACCUGGGAACUGCAUUUGUGACUGUAUAGCUAGAGUACGGCAGAGGGGGAUGGAAUUCCGAGUGUAGCAGUGAAAUGCGUAGAUAUGCGGAGGAACACCGAUGGCGAAGGCAAUCCCCUGGGCCUGUACUGACGCUCAUGCACGAAAGCGUGGGGAGCAAACAGGAUUAGAUACCCCGGUAGUCCCUGUCUCUUAUAC
rnacentral:rRNA from 1 species